GCUUAAUGAGAUUCUCCGAGUCACUCUGGGAGGCAGCCAGGGUCAUUCUCAUUAGUUAGGAUGCAGCCGUUGCCUGUAUACUUUCGCUUCCUGUUUGGACUCAUGAGUGCAGGGGGUGGGUGUGUGGCUAAGGGGUCCACUGGGUGAGGAAGGGGAGUGAAGGCUAUUUUACUCUCUAUGAGCUCAGGCUUGCCCCGUUAAAUCCGUGGGCCCUCAACUUCCCUGUCUCUGGAACCAGGCUGGGCCUAAGGCAGGGGCACAUGUGGGGAGCAGAGAGCCCGCGAGCUCAGGAGGUGAAGCUCCUGUAGCAGCCUCUGGGCGUGUGCCCAGCCUGGACGCACAUUAACACCCGAUGUCGGCGAUGACCAAGGCCUUUCCUCUCAUACAUAUGCUUUGAGGAUGGUAAUCAUACCAGUCUUGGAGAGCAAUGGCCCGCAGGGACAAAGCUUCGGUGACGGUCCUCAGUGGCCAGUUCUUGCAACCCGGAGGAAGGGCUUCCAGUGAGCGAUACAGGACAAGAAGCAGGAGUUUAUUAGAGAAGGAGUCCAGGCCUCAGGCAUCCUCUGAAGUGGUCUCGGAUAUUGAAAACCGAGCUUAACUCCGAGCCACUGUUCCUUGUUCUUAAGAAGUCAAAGGCAACGCUGCCUCUCAGCUUCUGCAGGAUUGCCUGGAGAAUGGUAAUAAUGAGGACAAUCGUAUUUCUUCAUGGGAUCUUUCUGUGGAGCACAGAAGCUACAAGGAAAAUAUAUCAGAGUUACAGGGAGAGAAGGAAAGAGGAGACCAGAUGCCUGGUUAAAGAGAGAAUGGAAUUCUGGGAAGAACUGAACCUAGGAAUGAUGGUUUUUUGGAAGGAAAACCCUGCCAGACACAUUUGACCCAUUGCUGCAGGAGAAUGAAGUAAAUCUAAGUUGACCUAAAAAGAAAACCUGAUUUGUUCCCUAGGAAGUACCUGUGAGUAGGAGGCAAGGGUGGCAGAUGUUUCAAAGGUCAAGGAAAAGUUUAACCUGGCCUUCUAGUGGCUGACUGUCACACACAGCCACUAGAGCUGUGUGUGAGGAGCUCCCCUUGGAAAUCUAGGCCAUCUCUGCCUCCAAAGAUACAUUUCUCAGCGUUCAGCAUUUGAUGGCCCUUUAUAACAUGAUCUUAUAAUUAGAUGCCAAGAGAAAAUUUAGGUAGGUGUCUUCCUUCCUGAUUAUCAGAAUUACAUAGCUUGAUGUGUUUUACUCUUUGCCAUGGCAACCAGACUGUGGAGACUAAUUUGGGCUGAAGUAGCAUAUUUCAUUCUUCCUGUUUUCCAUAGAUCUGAUUUCUAUUUAAACUUGCUGUAAUUUGUUUUAUAGAUCAUAUUAUAAUGUGCCAGAUAUUCUUCCUGUUAUAAUUUGCCACAUGUGCACGCGCGUGCGCGC
rnacentral:lncRNA from 1 species